rnacentral:rRNA from 1 species
UACGGGGGGGGCAAGCGUUGUUCGGAAUUACUGGGCGUAAAGGGCUCGUAGGUGGCCAACUAAGUCAGACGUGAAAUCCCUCGGCUUAACUGAGGACGUGCGGAAGAAACUGCAAGGCUUGAGUCCGGGAGAGGGGGGUGGAAUUCCCAGUGUAGCGGUGAAAUGCGUAGAUAUUGGGAGGAACACCGGUGGCGAAGGCGGCCCCCUGGACCGGUACUGACGCUGAGGCGCGAAAGCGUGGGUAGCAAACGGG